GUGAGAAUGUGUCCCUGAGUUCCGCUGACCCCGAGGCCCCUUGCUGGCCAGGACAGGUGCUGUGAUGGGGACAGGCGGGGGGGCGCAGCCGGAGGAGCCCCCACUGAGGGCACUGGCCCGCCCUCCUUGUGCAGAAGGGCAUCAAGACUUUUGUGUUUUUUGCUGAAAAAAUAGCAGCCUCCUUUCCCGGGUGGGCUUGCACAGGCAGCGCCGCCCUGGGGCCCCAGCCACCACGCGGGCUCUGACGUGCCUUCUCCCCUGCGGCCCCAACAGCCACGUGAAGCAUCUGUGAGUCUCCUGGACUGCAAGAAGAUCCAACCAGUCCAUCCUAAAGGAAAUCAGUCCUGAAUAUUCAUGGGAAGGAUUGGUGCUGAAGCUGAAACUCCAGUACUCUUUGGCCACCUGAUGCGAAGAACUGACUCGCUGGAAAAGACCCUGAUGCUGGGAAAGAUUGAAGGCGGGAGGAGAAGGAGACGACAGAGGAUGAGACGGUUGGAUGGCAUCAUGAACUCAAUGGACAUGAGUUUGAGUAAAGUCCGGGAGUUGGUGAUGGACAGGGAGGCCGGGCAUGCUGCACCAUGGGGUCACAAAGAGUCAGACACGACUGAGAGACAGCAACUCUCCUCUACCCCCUCCAGACAGGACUCCAUCUGGAUCAAUUCCUUCAUCCCCAAGAACUUCCCUCAAUAUGUCUUACCCUGCAGGUGGUGAAUUCCCUGUUUACCUGUAAACAUCUUUUUCUGCUUUCAUUUCGAGGGAUAUUGUCACUGGAGGCACAAUUUUGGAUCGACAUGUCCUGAGUCCCACACUUUCCGUCCC
ensembl:lncRNA